UACAUAAGUAACCUGCCCUAGACAGGGGGAGUAACUAUUGGAAACGAUAGCUAAGACCGCAUAGGUACGGACACUGCAUGGUGACCGUAUUAAAAGUGCCUCAAAGCACUGGUAGAGGAUGGACUUAUGGCGCAUUAGCUGGUUGGCGGGGUAACGGCCCACCAAGGCGACGAUGCGUAGCCGACCUGAGAGGGUGACCGGCCACACUGGGACUGAGACACGGCCCAGACUCCUACGGGAGGCAGCAUG
rnacentral:rRNA from 1 species